rnacentral:lncRNA from 1 species
UUAGCCAGACUCUAGAAAAACGAGAUGGCACUCCGUUUUUCCGUGGCCAGGUUUGGGCCAGCUCGCUGAUCCAUUCCAGUCACCCCCUCCGCUCCCCUUUGUUCGCCUCCUCCGCUCGUCAUCUCCGGCAGGCUGCGGCCCUCCCCACUCGUCCGUGACCUCACCUGUAUCUCCCCUAGCUCCAUCUCCAUCCACGCAGGAUGGUCACCAUCUCCGGCGUCCGCGCCAAGACCGAGCCCGAGCUUCUCCAGCGUCCGCGCUCGACUGCAGCUCGUUUCAGAUCUCCGGCAGUUUCUCCGCCUGCACCUCCGACGCUCGUUGUAGCUCGCCCCACCAUAUCCUUUGUGCUUGUCUUCCCCUCUCAAUGCUAUGAAGGUGGGCAGCCACCAUGGUGUGCCCAUCCGUUGUAGCAUGCUCAUGGAGGCCUUGAGGACCUUCACUGAGGAAACAGCACCCCCAAUCCCAUAAGAAUCCAUGGAAGAAGCUUUGGGUUCUUGGUUUCUUAGCUUGUAUGUUCUCUAUUUUUGUCUGUGUGUGGUGGAUCUGAAUCCCAAUUCUAAUUUGCUCACCACUUUCCUCUCGUAUUCUCUCCUUCCCUGCUGCCUUGCAGCUUCAGCUCUAGGCAAGCUAAGGCACAUCCGUAUCUACAAGCUCAGGGCUUCACUUCCAGCACCCGGCGGUGUGUUCCCACUUACCUUCUCCAACGUGCCUUUCUUCACAAGCGUCGGCGCCGAAGGAUGUACUGGAGUUGACCGUCAGUGAGAGUGCGUGCCACCUGUUCGAAGGUUUGUUCCAAAGGGGUAAACUUACCAUGCCAAAGACAGGGUGAUUCUAUGCAACGUGAAGCAGGCAACCAAACAUAUUUUUUCCAAUCCAGGCUUGAGUUGCCAAUGCAACCAAACAAGUGUAUCUUGGCUUAUACAAGCCAGGCUUUGACUGCCCAGGCUUAGUUAGCUAGCCAGGCUAAUCCAAAAUGUGAACCAAACAAGUGUGCUGCUGAUGUUUGGUUGUGUUCUUUUUGAAUGAUCGUUCUAAUUAUUUGAAGGGGCUUAAACGUUUCUACUCCUAUUUUUGAAGCGAAACAAUAUGAUCGUUCUAAUUAUUUGUUAUUUUACUCCUGUGAUUUUAAAAUGAAAGCAGACUUUACCCCUGCUCUGUAUAGUCCUUUUUUUUUGACAAGGUCUGUAUAGUCCUUUUAACGGUGCUAACUUUUAGGCCAAAGGAUAACUUUGC